rnacentral:rRNA from 1 species
ACUCCUACGGGAGGCAGCAGUGGGGAAUAUUGGGCAAUGGGGGAAACCCUGACCCAGCAACGCCGCGUGAAGGAAGAAGGUCUUCGGAUCGUAAACUUCUAUCCUUGGUGAAGAUAAUGACGGUAGCCGAGAAGGAAGCCCCGGCUAACUACGUGCCAGCAGCCGCGGUAAUACGUAGGGGGCAAGCGUUGUCCGGAAUGAUUGGGCGUAAAGGGCGCGUAGGCGGCCUGGUAAGUCUGGAGUGAAAGUCCUGCUUUUAAGGUAGGAAUUGCUUUGGAUACUGUCGGGCUUGAGUGCAGGAGAGGUAAGUGGAAUUCCCGGUGUAGCGGUGAAAUGCGUAGAGAUCGGGAGGAACACCAGUGGCGAAGGCGACUUACUGGACUGUAACUGACGCUGAGGCGCGAAAGUGUGGGGAGCGAACAGGAUUAGAUACCCUGGUAGU